rnacentral:rRNA from 1 species
UACGUAGGGUCCGAGCGUUAAUCGGAAUUACUGGGCGUAAAGCGUGCGCAGGCGGUUUUGUAAGCCAGAUGUGAAAGCCCCGGGCUUAACCUGGGAAUGGCAUUUGGGACUGCAAGGCUGGAGUACGGCAGAGGGAGGUGGAAUUCCAGGUGUAGCAGUGAAAUGCGUAGAUAUCUGGAGGAACACCGAUGGCGAAGGCAGCCUCCUGGGCUAGUACUGACGCUCAAGCACGAAAGCGUGGGGAGCAAACAGG